GAAAAUGUGGUCUAGCGAACCUCUAAGUCCUCCUUGAUUGGGGGCUAGAGAUGAACGAAAAGUUACUCCGGGGAUAACAGAGUUGUCGCGCCUGAGAGUUCAUAUCGACGGCGCGGCUUGCUACAUCGAUGUCGGCUCUACCUAUCCUGGAUGUGCAGAAGCAUCCAAUGGUGCGGGUGUUCACCGAUUAAAAGGUAUCGUGAGCUGGGUUCAGAACGCUGUGAGGCAGUUUGUUUGAUAUCUACUGGAGAUGUUUGAUGUCUGAGGGGAAUGACCUUUUAGUACGAGAGGAACGAAGGUUAGAGGCCUCUGGUCUACCUGUUAUCUGACAAGGUAAGCAGGGCAGCUACGCCUUAUAGGAUAAGUGCUGAAAGCAUCUAAGCACGAAGCCUUCCUUGAAAAGAGACAUCAUAGAACUCUCGCAAAACACGAGUUUAAUGGGACAGGAGUGUAAGUGCGAAGGCAACGACGCAUUCAGCUCGCUGUUUCCAACAGUUCAAUCUUUUAGUUUA
rnacentral:rRNA from 1 species